AUCAUCUCAAAUCGAAUGUCUGGUCUCUUUCCCGCCGAAAUCAUUUUGAAGAGAAUGUCUUUGGGAGCUUCUGCUUUGAGUUGGAAACCUUGUGCCAUGAUUAUUCCAAGACCUGCAACACCCUUAACAUCAUUGCUUUUAUAAUUAGCUUUUAUAUAACUAACACAUUGAGCAGGGUAUGGUGUCUUGGUGCAUGUUUCUGUUAUGAGUUUGUCAUCGCUUUCACCUUGUGCUAUUGCAAUUGAAGCCACUGCAAUUGUGCACAAUAAUGUAUUUAGAGAAAAAUGCUUCAUGUUUAAUUACAGAGAAUA
rnacentral:lncRNA from 1 species